GACGAACGCUGGCGGCGUGCCUAAUACAUGCAAGUAGAACGCACAGUUUAUACCGUAGCUUGCUACACCAUAGACUGUGAGUUGCGAACGGGUGAGUAACGCGUAGGUAACCUGCCUGGUAGCGGGGGAUAACUAUUGGAAACGAUAGCUAAUACCGCAUAAUAUUGAUUAUUGCAUGAUAAUUAAUUGAAAGGUGCAAUUGCACCACUACCAGAUGGACCUGCGUUGUAUUAGCUAGUAGGUGAGGUAACGGCUCUCCUAGGCGACGAUACAUAGCCGACCUGAGAGGGUGAUCGGCCACACUGGGACUGAGACACGGCCCAGACUCCUACGGGAGGCAGCAGUAGGGAAUCUUCGGCAAUGGACGAAAGUCUGACCGAGCAACGCCGCGUGAGUGAAGAAGGUUUUCGGAUCGUAAAGCUCUGUUGUAAGAGAAGAACGGGUGUGAGAGUGGAAAGUUCACACUGUGACGGUAUCUUACCAGAAAGGGACGGCUAACUACGUG
rnacentral:rRNA from 1 species